UGGGGAAUAUUGGACAAUGGGGGCAACCCUGAUCCAGCAAUGCCGCGUGUGUGAAGAAGGUCUUCGGAUUGUAAAGCACUUUCGACGGGGACGAUGAUGACGGUACCCGUAGAAGAAGCCCCGGCUAACUUCGUGCCAGCAGCCGCGGUAAUACGAAGGGGGCUAGCGUUGCUCGGAAUGACUGGGCGUAAAGGGCGUGUAGGCGGUUUACACAGUCAGAUGUGAAAUCCCCGGGC
rnacentral:rRNA from 1 species